rnacentral:rRNA from 1 species
GUAGGUGGCAAGCGUUGUCCGGAAUUAUUGGGCGUAAAGCGCGCGCAGGGCGGUCCUUUAAGUCUGAUGUGAAAGCCCACGGCUCAACCGUGGAGGGUCAUUGGAAACUGGGGGACUUGAGUACAGAAGAGGAAAGCGGAAUUCCAAGUGUAGCGGUGAAAUGCGUAGAGAUUUGGAGGAACACCAGUGGCGAAGGCGGCUUUCUGGUCUGUAACUGACGCUGAGGCGCGAAAGCGUGGGGAGCAAACAGGAUUAGAUACCCUGGUAGUCCACGCCGUAAACGAUGAGUGCUAAGUGUUAGGGGGUUCCCGCCCCUUAGUGCUGCAGCUAACGCAUUAAGCACUCCGCCUGGGGAGUACGGCCGCAAGGCUG